rnacentral:lncRNA from 1 species
AUGGAUCCUGUGAACCCUUCACUGGUCAAUGCACGUUUGUUAUCUCAUACUUUAGAUUCCCCUCUCAGGGACGAAUCAGUAGUGUGUCCUUCUUCAAGGAGCUCAAGUGAAAGUUUGAAUGCUUGUUGUAGUUCAGCCCUGACCUUGGGGGAUCUCGAUCCAUCUAGUUUGGAGUCCCUUCAAUCUAUUUUGCAGUCCUCACAGAUUUCUGCUGGCUUGUACUGUUCCAUCCAGAGGCUUAAGCAAGAAACUGCUUUGAUGGGGAUAAGGGGCUCUAUCCCUCUGGAGCCCAAGUCUUCUCCAGUCAGUGGCAGUUUCUGCUUUGCUGCUGCUGAUUCAUCUCCUAGUAUCCUGAGCAUAGGAGAACAGCUAGCUGGAGCGAAGACCAGUGCUGCUCAGGCAAGACUGAAAUGGGGUGUCCCAUUUGCUAAAGACUGGAGCCUUGGUGCAGUGACAAGGGACUUCAGUUGUGCAGAACCUCUCUCUGUCUCUCACAGAUAUGGGUACAUUGGCUCAAAUACAUGGAGAACCAAAAUUUCAGGUGACAUCCAGCCAAAAACCCACUCUUCUGGGGUGGGCUCUGGCAGGCUAGUGGAUACAGAAGCAGAUUCCCUCUACAGUUGCUCCCCUUAUUUCAGAUGCCAGUCCCAGGCAAAGCCAACUCUGGAAACUGGUAGUCUUUAUGUUCACACAAAAAGUCAUUCCCCUGGAAAGGUUCCUAAAGGCAAAGAGACAUCUGAUGGGUCAUCCCCAUGUGCUGCAUCUCAGAAGAAAGACCUUUCAGCCAGUCUGUGUCCAGAGGGUUUGCAGGUGUCACUAGAGACAGAUUUGGGGGGUGCUCAAAUGAAUGUUGGUGUAGCCAUGUAUGGGACCCCAAGGGAAGUGUGCGUGAGAGUCACUUCUCCUCCUGGAGAGAAAGAGUUCAGACCAGUCCAGCAGCUUAGUAUUAAAUCUGUAGGAGUCAACAAAUCUGAGCCUCGUGUUAAGUCCAGCAAAGAGUCGGGAGAGGUAUGUGACUCUAGAUCACGAGCAGCCAGAAGAGUGGAUCUGGUGGGCAGCAGCCAGUCCAGCCCUUUCGGUAUUCACGUUGAAGAAGGCUAUGGUGAACAUUCUGACAUGGAUUGUAUGAAUGUGAGCAGAGAAGUAAGGAGAAACAAACACUCCCACCAAAGCAGCUGGAAGAAUUGGGAAGCUGAUGCUAAUCUUGACCAGUCUGAAGAACCUUCUGUGGAGAGGAGUGCCAAAGAACCACGGUGCUGUGAAGAAGGAAACCAGACACAGGACACUGUGUCCAGAGAGGUCUCAGAGAACAGCUUCUGGUCAUUGAAGGUGAAUGAGCAAAGUUUCCAGCACUUGUGUAACAGAGAAAUGCUAACUAAAUGUUUCCAAGCAUGGAGGGGACACAUCCUCUGGAAAAGAGCUGCAGCCAGGCAGCUUUACAGACAGCAACUGCUUCGGAAGGGCCUUUGUGCUUUGAAGUGGGCUGUGCACCAGAGGAGGAUGCAGCUGGAGGUAGCUCGGCAGAGACACGCCUGGGCUCUGCUAGCUGUCAGCUUUCGCAGGUGGAAGGAAGCUGUGGUAAAACAGAGCAAGAAUCAAGCUCUACCGCCUGAGCCAUAUUCUUGUACCCAAAGUUCAUCGGUGGGAUCUUUUGGAGUAGGAAGAUUAGCAACUAUGACAACCUCAGCUCAGCAGCAGCUUACAGUAGGAUACUCAAAGGAAGCUGAGCAGGCUUGUAGGGUGGAGGGAGGUCUGUGGACACAGCUUCAUCGUAAGCAGAGAGGAGAUGAGUUCUGCUUGAGAGCUCAAGCAAUCAGAGAUAUGAGACGGCUAGCAGCUUUCAGACUGUGGCGCCUACAGAAGGAGCUACUGAGCAAAGAGGAAGCCAGGCUUUUGGAAGCUCGGGCUCUGCUGAAAAAGAAGCAGCUACGAAACACUUUCUGUUUGUGGCGUUCCCGAUGCUUGGAAAUGGAACAGAUUUUAGCACUGAGAACUCGGAUCCAAAGAAACUUGGUCUCCCGGUGCUUCAGUGCAUGGAAGGAGACUGUUGAGCAGAAGGCACUUUACAGGUGCAGCCUGGCCCAUCUCAGAGCAAUAUCACUGAGGAAAUACUUCCAGCGGUGGCUUCAGAUGCUGCAGGUCAGAGAAGGCGAUAAGCAGGCAAUGGUGAACUACUUCCUCCUACAGUGGUGGCAGCAUUAUGGUCCAGUUAUAAGCUCAGUAGCUGACAAAUCUACGACACAAAGGCAUGAAGAUCAACCAUUGUGGACUGUAGAGAGACGGUUUCCAGAGAAAAUGGGCUACUCUCUUGAUGACGUCUGCCAAAAGGUGGAGCUCCAGAGAGUAUAUCUGCUGUGGAAAGCAAGGCUGUGCGAGCAUCACAGAGCUGAUUCUUUCUCUCAGACUUUGGAGCAGUGUAGACUCAGAAAAGCUCUGAAAUUGUGGCACCAAAAGUGCCUCAUGCUGAAGACAAUUGAACAAAGUCCUAAGCACUUGCACAGGACUCUCUGUGAAGAGCCUCUUGCCAUGCUGUUUUCUGAGGACCUCUCAACAUCUUCUGGUUUUGACAGCAGUGCUCCAGCUACUCAGGCCUCUCAAAGCUCAUUGGAAAAGGAAUACAGUUUUAGUGACAGCAGCCAGCAGAGCUUCUCCUCUCUUCUGACUGCUGAGGAUGUCACACACAUGCCGUAUUACAGUUCUUUCCUGCAACUACACCAGUGCGCAGAGCUGCCAGCUGAGCUGGGAGGGGACCUGUACUUGCAGGCAUCCUUUCCUCCACGGAGUAUUGGGUAUGGAAGAAAUUGGUUUGUGGGAGGUCAGUUCCAGUCACUGGCACUGCAGAGUCCAGACAACAAUGUCCAGCCUCUCACAGGUUACUCUACAUGGGACGAGGACUGCAGUUCUGACAAGGAGGUGAAGAGCUGCUGGCACCAAGCAGAGAGAUGCUGCCUGCAGAGGUACUUUAUUGUCUGGUCAGCUCGAACUCAGCAACUUGUAAAGGCCCAGCAGUACUGCAGGCUCGUUCAGCUGUCUCGAGCCUUUCUCAGCUGGCACCAGUGGGUCAUGGAAAAUAAGAACCAAAAAGCAGCAGCAGCCCUAAAACAUCGAGUUCAUUGCUGCCAGAUGGCUUUCAGCCUGUGGAAGAAGAGGCUGGCCCAGAAAGUGGAAGCUGACCGGAGAUUCAGGUGUCACGUUUACCAGAUGACUGCUGAUGCUUUGUGGCGUUGGCAUUCCUGCUGGCAAAGGAAGCGUGCUUUGAGAGAGCUGCAGCAACGAUGGGCUCAGCACAGCUGCCAGGAGAAGAAGAGGUUGGUCCUGCAGACAUGGUAUUGCCAAACAAGGAAGCAGAAAUAUGCAGCUUUAUUCUGGGAACGUCUUCUCCUGCAGAGGUGCCUCGUCACCUGGGCCCAGGUCACUGCUUGUAGACUGAGGCAGCACGAAGCCCUCUCUCAUUUUAAAAGGCUCAGAGAGCACCGUCUCCUAGUUGUGAGCUUUACUGAGUGGAGGGUGAAAUUGUUGAGAGUUCAACAGCGGGUGGUGGGAGAGAGAAACCACAAGUGGCAGAAACCCUCUCAGGGCAAAGCCUGUCACCGCUGGCGAGUGGCCUCCAGAGGACAGCAAGCCCUGCGCCUGGGAUCUGUGGCUACGGUAAAACAGGCCUGCAACUACUGGACAAAAGCAGCUGCCUUUUCCCAGUGCUCACGGCAGUGCAGUACCCUGAUAGGUGCUAGGAAGAGCAGGAAGAUGUCUCUGUCUCGGUCCAUAAAAAGAAGAGGCAGAGAAAAGGGUUCAGCACCAGCUGUCCCUCUUGAGCUUUUUCCCAGUGCCGUUCACCGCUGGCUGAUGAUCUACAGAAACCAAAACAGGGCUGAAAGGCUACUGCUCCCUCACCUGGUAGAGAGAACUGGUGUGGUAGGACCCUCUCCUGCACUUGCAAGGAUCCAGGAGAAGAAGGCAGAGGUGGACUUGGAGGAGAGGGAUGAGAAGUGGCUUGGGAGGAAGUAUCUAAGGUGGUGGCAUCACACAGUGACACUUCGCCAGUGCCAGCGGGACAGGAGACUGCGCUGUCUGGCGAGGGUAUGGUAUCAGUGGAGGGAGGCCAGCAGGGUGGUGAUACUGGCUCAGGUGUUGGUGAGUAUCUGGUGCUGCCACCAGGGUGUUAGUGAUGGCUGUUACUGGGCAAGCCUGCUCUGCUUCCAGCCUCACACAGCCUCACUGGGAGAUGAGACCUGGGAUUUAACAAGUUCCAGUGUGCACCAGAAAUCCUGGUUUGCUAUAGUGGCUACUUUUGCCAUCUUUCUCUUUGAAAUGCCAGCAUGGCAGACUGGCAGAUGCACAUACUUAAUUGUGCUUUGCCCCAUCUUACAAAUGGGGAACUGAGACGGGAUGAUUUGUACAGAUUGCCUGUAGCCUGUGCGAAAAGUUCACAGCAAGUAUUACAAUUUGUGUUCCUGAUACAUCCCCCUGGUGUCCACAGCCUACCAAGGGCUGUCAUUUGGCCUCCCUUUCUGCUCAGGCCCUAGC